AUUUAAAUAGUUUAAAAAAAAUUAUGAAUUGUGGUUUCAUAGAUACUUAGUAGUUUUAAAUU
rnacentral:tRNA from 1 species